rnacentral:rRNA from 1 species
GACGAACGCUGGCGGCGCGCCUAACACAUGCAAGUCGAACGAGAGAUGAGGAGCUUGCUCUUCAAAUCGAGUGGCGAACGGGUAAGUAACGCGUGAGGAACCUGCCUCAAAGAGGGGGACAACAGUUGGAAACGACUGCUAAUACCGCAUAAGCCCACGGCUCGGCAUCGAGCAGAGGGAAAAGGAGCAAUCCGCUUUGAGAUGGCCUCGCGUCCGAUUAGCUAGUUGGUGAGGUAACGGCCCACCAAGGCGACGAUCGGUAGCCGGACUGAGAGGUUGAACGGCCACAUUGGGACUGAGACACGGCCCAGACUCCUACGGGAGGCAGCAGUGGGGAAUAUUGCACAAUGGGGGAAACCCUGAUGCAGCGACGCCGCGUGGAGGAAGAAGGUCUUCGGAUUGUAAACUCCUGUUGUUGAGGAAGAUAAUGACGGUACUCAACAAGGAAGUGACGGCUAACUACGUGCCAGCAGCCGCGGUAAAACGUAGGUCACAAGCGUUGUCCGGAAUUACUGGGUGUAAAGGGAGCGCAGGCGGGAGAACAAGUUGGAAGUGAAAUCCAUGGGCUCAACCCAUGAACUGCUUUCAAAACUGUUUUUCUUGAGUAGUGCAGAGGUAGGCGGAAUUCCCGGUGUAGCGGUGGAAUGCGUAGAUAUCGGGAGGAACACCAGUGGCGAAGGCGGCCUACUGGGCACCAACUGACGCUGAGGCUCGAAAGUGUGGGUAGCAAACAGGAUUAGAUACCCUGGUAGUCCACACCGUAAACGAUGAUUACUAGGUGUUGGAGGAUUGACCCCUUCAGUGCCGCAGUUAACACAAUAAGUAAUCCACCUGGGGAGUACGACCGCAAGGUUGAAACUCAAAGGAAUUGACGGGGGCCCGCACAAGCAGUGGAGUAUGUGGUUUAAUUCGACGCAACGCGAAGAACCUUACCAAGUCUUGACAUCCCUUGACGAUGCUGGAAACAGUAUUUCUCUUCGGAGCAAGGAGACAGGUGGUGCAUGGUUGUCGUCAGCUCGUGUCGUGAGAUGUUGGGUUAAGUCCCGCAACGAGCGCAACCCUUAUGGUCAGUUACUACGCAAGAGGACUCUGGCCAGACUGCCGUUGACAAAACGGAGGAAGGUGGGGAUGACGUCAAAUCAUCAUGCCCUUUAUGACUUGGGCUACACACGUACUACAAUGGCGUUAAACAAAGAGAAGCAAGACCGCGAGGUGGAGCAAAACUCAGAAACAACGUCCCAGUUCGGACUGCAGGCUGCAACUCGCCUGCACGAAGUCGGAAUUGCUAGUAAUCGCAGAAUCAGCAUGCUGCGGUGAAUACGUUCCCGGGCCU